rnacentral:lncRNA from 1 species
AUGGAAGCAAGCCUUCAUUUCUCUGUGCCUUCAAACCCGGGGUCUGUAAUUUUAGUCUUUGCUGCUGGGAAGCCUGGGAGGGACACAGGAGAGGUGAGAAUGUAUAAAUACGCAGACAGAAGGGGGAAAGGGAGAGAGGAGAGAGAGCAAGAGACUGACAACCAUACAGAGAGCUCGGUCUGUCACCUGGGCACAAUGAGAAGACUGGUUCUGUUGCUCCUGGUGAUUGCUCUGCUGCUCUGGGAUGCAGAGGCAAAGCGCAAAGGAAGCAGCCGACACAAGUCAAAGAGCAAGACAAAGGUAUCAAAGGCCGUCAAGGAAAUUGCAAGAGCACUAGAUCCACAGGGUGUUUUGAAUCCCACUAAUAAAAACGACAAAACCAAAGACCUGGCUAAAAUUGCUGAAGAAACCAUUGUAAAUGAGCAAGUCCGCUGUAAGUACAGAUAAAACUAAAUAUGUUCAGAAAUCAUAAUCAUUCAUUACCAACAUUU